rnacentral:rRNA from 1 species
CGCGGCCUANCAGCUUGUNGGNGGGGUAAUGGCUCACCAAGGCGACGACGGGUAGCCGGCCUGAGAGGGUGACCGGCCACACUGGGACUGAGACACGGCCCAGACUCCUACGGGAGGCAGCAGUGGGGAAUAUUGCACAAUGGGCGCAAGCCUGAUGCAGCAACGCCGCGUGAGGGAUGACGGCCUUCGGGUUGUAAACCUCUUUUAGUAGGGAAGAAGCGUAAGUGACGGUACCUGCAGAAAAAGCACCGGCUAACUACGUGCCAGCAGCCGCGGUAAUACGUAGGGUGCAAGCGUUGUCCGGAAUUAUUGGGCGUAAAGAGCUCGUAGGCGGCUUGUCGCGUCUGCUGUGAAAACCCGAGGCUCAACCUCGGGCCUGCAGUGGGUACGGGCAAGCUAGAGUGCGGUAGGGGAGAUUGGAAUUCCUGGUGUAGCGGUGGAAUGCGCAGAUAUCAGGAGGAACACCGAUGGCGAAGGCAGAUCUCUGGGCCGUAACUGACGCUGAGGAGCGAAAGCAUGGGGAGCGAACAGGAUUAGAUACCCUGGUAGUCCAUGCCGUAAACGUUGGGAACUAGAUGUAGGGCCUGUUCCACGGGUUCUGUGUCGUAGCUAACGCAUUAAGUUCCCCGCCUGGGGAGUACGG